CGGAGAGGUACCCAAGUGGCUGAAGGGGCGGGUUUGCUAAACCUGUAGUAGGUCGAAUGGCCUAGCGUGAGUUCGAAUCUCACCCUCUCCGU
rnacentral:tRNA from 1 species